rnacentral:rRNA from 1 species
GACGAACGCUGGCGGCGUGCUUAACACAUGCAAGUCGAACGCAGUGGCGAACGGGUGAGUAACACGUGAGUAACCUGCCUCCUUCUUUGGGAUAACGCCCGGAAACGGGUGCUAAUACUGGAUAGUGGGGGAUGGGCUCGCGGCCUAUCAGCUUGUUGGUGGGGUGAUGGCCUACCAAGGCUUUGACGGGUAGCCGGCCUGAGAGGGUGCCCGGUCACAUUGGGACGGAGAAACGGCCCAGACUAGUACGGGGGGAGGCAGUGGGGAAAAUUGCACAAGGGGCGAAGGCCUGAUGCGGCGCGGCGGCGGGGGGGUUGACGGCCUGGGGUUUGUAAACCUCUUGGGCCAAUGGUAGGGUAGUGGGUAAAGAAGCGCCGGCUAACUACGUGCCAGCAGCCGCGGUAAUAC